AUAUGGUAUUAAUGAGUUUGAGUUAAGAGUGGUAAAUAACUUGCUCCCAGGAAAAGAACCGUGUGAGGAGGCCCCGGGGCGUUACAGCCUUUACUUUGAAGGGGACAAAUCCUUCUCACUUUAACAAAUUGGUGUUUCCGCCCGUGACCUGGAAGCAGGACAACAGAGCCACCGACGGAAAAAGCUCCACAGCCUGCGGCCGAAACAACUGAUAAGGUGAGGAGAUUCCUUAUUACAAAAUAUCUCCAGUGUUUUUAAUGUUAAAACACUUUGGCUGUGUUGUGAUUUUCUGAAGUGAGCUGAAGCUUUUUAUGCAAAAGAGGACAGAGAAAUUGCUCAGAGUGAUUUUAGUUUUUGUUUUUGCGGUUUUUGUUUUGUUUUAUUUGUUGGUUUUUAUUUUUUUUACAUUGCGAACGUGUACACAUAAAAAAAAAAAAAAAAGGAGAGAGAGAGAGAAAGAAAGUCGUGCGUUCUGCUGUGGGUAGAGGUUGAAAGUCCGACUGAAGGAACCCUGCGCAAACACCUUCAAAAAUUAUACUGCUCACUAGGAUAAGUUGGUUGGAAAGCCCAACGGUUUCUGCAUGCAGAAAGGGACGGUGAUUUUAUUCCCGGUCUGCCUGCAGACACGAAAGAUGCACUUCUGAAAACAGACGCACAGACAGAAACCAGUCACAUAGCCGGCUAGAGUUUGCCAGUAUGCCUCCCAUAAGGACAUGUACGAAAAACCGAGACUGGAAAUAAGCGAGCGGGUCAGGUUGAAACGGACCUUUGAGGUGUUUUUCUCUUUCCUUCUCUUCUCUUAUAAAAGGAAAAGAGAGAGACGAUAAAAUGCUAUUCCUCAUAAAACUAGAAGAGACUGAUGCCCGGAUUAGUUGUUGACGGACGCGCUUCCUUAGCAGAAGAGCGGCUCACUGAAGGUUGUAGGGAAAAGGUUUAAAGCCCAGAGGGAUCUCACGUAAGACGUCGAGGUCUAAUUUUAUACACUGUGUGAACGGAAGGUGUGAAAGAUGGAUGCAUGUGGACUAGAAAUUGAAUCCAGAAACACCUCGUUAAAAGCGAGUCUGGAUAAAGGGAGAAAUAUGAUCAUGGCGAGUUAUCCAUUGAAGGAUGCAGAGCACCACAUUAGAAAAUUUGAUGAAUGGGUUGGAAAAAGAAAAAAUGAGAGAAGAUGGAAUGUUUGGGGAAUUAGAGGGGCCCCCUCCAAACACUUCACAACGUGGUUUUUAUUUGGAUACACUAAAAAAUAGAUUGUCACAAGCUCGUGAAAAAAUGGCUGGUGCUGGUGUGUUCGGACGAGACAAACACCAGAAGGAAGAAACAAAACUUUUGGAUUUGAUUAGACAAACCAAGUUCAAUUUUAGUAACUAUUUUUCUGACAAGGACCCUGAACAGGAACAGGUGGAGCAAAACGGGGCUCAGGGAGGUGAGCAGGCACUCGACACUUCAGAGGGUAAGAAAAACCUUUAAUGAGUACAUCUAAUAUUGCAGAAACAGAGCCUAUUAUGGACCCCAGUCCACACCAAGGUGUCAGAGAAAUAUUUCGUAAGGCUGGUGAUGCAAUGUUUCCAUCAAACCCAUGUGUGCAGAUGCCUGUUAUGGAGUUGCGUGAAGGUCAGAUAAAUUGUGAAAUAAGGCCUGCAGAGGAAGAAUUGGGACAAGAGGUACGAAAGGAGUUUCAGAUGCAAGAUUUAAUAGAGGAGGCGGUUAAUAAAGCAUUUCAGCAUUUCAGUUCCUAUUGUUAUGAAAAUGUCGAUGUUUCUGUGAUUUUUGGAGGUGAACCUGGGAAAGGAAAGCUUAAAAUAUAACAGGUUGAUAUAUUUAAAAUUUACGAUGUCUUGAAAUUAACAUGUUAAAGGUAAGAAGAUCAAUUAGUACAUUUUCAGUGCUGUAAACCCCAACCCCGGCCCAACAUUGAGCUCCAGAAGGUGGAUCACACAGAGCAGCCCUUCACUUAGAGGCAGGAGAGAAAGGAAAAAGAAGACACAGAGAGACUGAGUGCGCACAGGGCCGAUCACAGCAGAGGCAGGGCCCAGGAGUCUACAAGCAGUUUUUACCUUAAAGACAUCUACCAAUUACUACACUAGAAUGGUAUUGUAAUCUGCAUUUAGAGUGACUGAUUCAGGAGCUUAUAUUUGAAAAUGUUAGACCACACAAGCUAAGGUUGUCAAACUGUAGCAAAGUGAAUAUAAAUUAAACACUGAUCACUGAGGAUACUCUAAGGUGGAUUAAAUGGAUCUUUACUCAGUCAACUGUUCAAAAUAGAGUGGGUUACAUCAAAUAGAUAAAUUAGGAAGGUUGAUUUCAGUGGAUAAAAAGAAGAGAGGCAGACAGCAGUAGAUGAAAUGGAGGGUGAGUUUGAUAGAGAAGGGGAGAAAUGGGCAAAGAAGAUCGAAGUGCGGGUUCAGUAAGGAUUAGAGAAAGGAAGUAAAUGCAGCAAUACUAGGGAGGCCGGGAUCCCACUAGUUGUGUAGUUAUGGAGGUAGUUUUUUUGAGAGAUUUCCAGCAGCAGUGAUAGAUAUUUUGAUUGAGGGCAGCAACUGUCCUUUUAUGGUUAAUACGGGGGCCAGAUACAGCCCCACGAAUCUUCACGUGCCCCCUGCCAAAAAACGGCACAGGUAAUGGGAUUUUCAGGAGACAAACAAAACAUACCACUUUUUCAGAACCCCUUAGAGGUGUUCUCAUAUUUGAAAAUUCAAACAUGUCAUUUUUGGGGGACGCUUAGAAUUAAAAAUCAUUGGGUGUGAAAACUUAUUUUGCUGUCUAACGUGAGCAAAUAAAUCUUAGGUUUCCAUAAAUGUGCACAUAUAGUUUAACAAGGAUCCUAAAAUGAGGCUGACAAGCACUGGCGCAGAGGUCUUAAGACCGGACUGGUAAAAAGAUUAUGACUUUUUGUUUAAAUUGGGAAAAAAUCCUCUAAGAAGAUAAAUCUAAAUUGAUACUGAUGGAUUAAACAAACUUUAUGUGGCCAAUGUCUGUCUGUCUGUCCUAAAUGUGGAAUGCAUGUGAGGUAGAAUGUGUGUGGUGAAGUUGGACAUGAUUAAGAAUAUUUUUUGAUGUGACAUUAACAUGAUUUGCAUUUUUACAGGAUUGAGAAGGAGCUCUGGGGGCAUAACAGAAGGGUAAUCGUAUCAAACAUGUUGCUCAGGGGCCCCACCUAUGAGAGGCCCUGACAAGACCAGAGCAGGUUGCUGUUGUAAGGUGUGAGGUAAUUUUUGGGUGUGGAGUGCAGCUGAGAUACUGUAGAUUAAUAGAUUAUAGAUUAGAAAAAUAAUUAAAUAUAUAAGUAAUUAUCCAGACAGAAGCAGAAUGGGUGUUUUUACGUUUUGGGGAACUAAAAUCUCAGACAGGGGCAUUACAUGAUUUUAAUUUAAAGGUAGUUUUCAUUUUCAAUCAUUAGAAUUGCAUUAGAGAUUGAUUAGUUUCAUUUUUCUCUCAUUAGGAUUUUAUUAGAGAUUGAUUAGGGACAGGUUAUUCACACUUCGAGCUGGAACUGGACACAGCAUAUGGCCAAGAUACCCGCAGGAGCUCAGUAGAUUAGCGGGGUCAACUUUUCUAAACAAGGCUGGAGAGUUAAGAACGAUUUCGGUGUGACCUGACCCUGGGUUUUUUCAGCUGUCAGUUUUUAUCCAUAAUUAUUUGUAUCUGUGUAUAAUGCCGUUUGGAAACUGCCUAAGCACGAACUGAUUAAUUUGCAUCUCUAAUCAUUACUAACACUAACACUUUUCACUGUUCAUCUGGGCCUUACCUUCUUUGCAUGAAGUGUUAAAUUCUGCUAACUUUACAAAUUUCUGUGAAUGAAGUGAUUAACUAUUGACUAAUUGAUUAACUUUUUGAUAGCUUUUUCCUGGUAACAAACCAGAGGGGUCAUUUACUUUUUCCCUGCUUGUAGAGGGUGACAGUGCGGCUGUCAGGGAGCAGGCAUGAUUAUUCAGAGGCCCAUUUAAGGAGGAUCAGGAGAUUGUUUUGCUUAAACAUGUUCUUUUUUCUUUUUCAGGCUGUGUUUGUAACAAUCCUUAAAUGUUAACAUUUUUUCUUCCAGGACAGGCUGACAAAAGUCUCAUCCUUCAUUGUGUUUUGUUCAAGAUGUGCAUUAACCCUUAUUUUCCCAACAGCUGCAGAAGUUCUGGCAUGUGAAAUGGACAACUUGGCUGAGAGUGACUAGAGCAAGAGAGAGAGGGGGGUUCAGAUAGUUGAAAACUUUUUGAUAGGAGGAUUUGAAUAGGUUCGAACUGACUGGACUGACUUGGUUAGUAACUGGACUGGAUCGGAACCAUGGAUUAGGACAUGAGAGAGAUGGUGUGAGAACGCAGCAUGCCAGAGACAGGGUGUAGAGAUUGUGGCUGCAUGUUUUGUUCCCGGCUGAAGGCCAUUCUGGUGAGCUCUGAGUUUGUUUUAAUUCCUCUCUGGUUCUGAUAUGACCUAUGAGGUACAGAUUGAUGUGGUGGUUUGAAGCUCACAGACUUUUGUUGGGGUGGAACAUUAAGAGCAGUCAUGCUGACAGAGGCAUUUAACGAAUGACAAGAUGAACCAACAACUAUUUGGAGAAGUCGGAGGCACCACUGGGGUUUUUGUUGUCUUACAUGUUUGUCGUUGUUUGUGUCUGUAUGUUUGUUUGUUUUCUGUUUUCUGUUUGUUUACUAACAUCUUAGCCUUUAUGG